rnacentral:lncRNA from 1 species
UGUCACGUAGACUAACUGACUAGGUUUUACUGUGUUGCAUAUGUAGCUUCUUCCUAGACACUAAGGGGAAAAGACAUUACACUAUUGAAAUAGGACUGGCUCUACUGAACUCCAUACCUAGAUACAAAGUUUACAAUAAACUUAGUCUUAGAGAGAGAUUGAUGCCUACUCUGGUUUUAAUGUGUCUCCAAAAUGUUCGUUUGCUGGAAACUUUAUCCCCAAAUUAAUAUGAUGAUGGUAUUUAGAGGUGGGAUCUUUGUGGGUAAUUUGGACUAGAUGAAGCCCUGAGGUGAGGCCCCAUGAUGGCAUUAGAGGCUGUAUAAGAAGUGAAGGAGGCCGGAGCCACCAAGCCCACUUUCUCCAUGUGCUGCCUCCCACCGUGACAAGAUGCUGCAAAGACCCUUGCCCUUGCCCGAUGCCAGGGUCCCUUCUUGAACUCCACGUCCUCUAGAAUUGUAAGCCAAGCAGAUAGGUGUUUUUUUUCCUGCCCGGAUUACCCUGUCCUGUCUUUGCUUCCCAUGGUUUGGGUGUCUGUUUGCACUCCAAGAUCCAAAUGAAUGAAAAGUGGCUGACGGACAGUCCUUGCCUUGGAGGAGUCCACGGCCUGGUAGAGGAGGUGGGAAUGUGGACACAAACUGAACUUUCUUCUGUGUUCCUGACCACCCUGCUGAACCGUCGGCUCUCUGACCUGUGGAUUGGCAUGUAAUUACAGUGUGGCCAUUUCUCCUGCCAGUCAAAGUGCACAGCCAGGUUCUUGCCUCUGGGAGGAUAUGCCUUUUCCACUGUCCCCAGGAAUGUGCUGGAAUGGGACUGCAGUGCUCAGCUGACCACUUCCUUGUGUUGCCUGCACCUUCUUCAUGACCAUCUGGAAACCAGGCCUGAUUCUUCUCUUCUGCGGUUUGAUCACAGAGGACCUCCCAGCAGGCCACAG